GCUGUGGCUCAGUGGUUAGAGCAUCUGCUUUGCAUGCAGAAGGUCCUGGGUUCAGUCCCCGAUAGGGCU